UUAGCAUUCUAGCUAACAGUUUUACCUCAGAUCUGAGUUCGCGCGCGCCGUUAGAUAGCUGGCUAAUUUACCUCAAAAUUCUCCUAACAGUUAACGGUAACUAUCGCCCUGCAGACGCGUCGCUCCGCACUUUUCUGAGGUACUGCUCCUGAUGUGGACCCACCGUGUCCAGACACACUUGAAUCUGAAAGUAGGAGAAGGAAGAGAUGAAGACUACACACUUCACAGACAAUAUUUGUUUGACCCUGUUGAAGCGCUGUCUCCAGGCCAGUCUGCGAGAGUUGUGAUGGAGGGUAGUGUUUACCAGCAGGGUCUUCCUUCACUGUGUCGCCUGCAUCGUCUUCAUCCAUCAGAAGGAGAAAACCCCUUUUCCCAGACAGUUCAGCACAUCCUAAUGGAGGUAUAACUCUGGACUGACCUGGUGUAUCUGGGUCCUUCUUCUCCACCACGCCUUCACCAGAAUCUGGAGAAAAACACAGGAAUUCAUCACUCUGACCCUGAGCUUACAGUUUCAUCAUCAGCUGCUCUGGUUCUGAGAACUCCCCCCGAACACUAGUGAUGCUCCUGACACGAGGAUGAUAAAGACCAGAGCACGUCUUCUCUGAUACGUCAAACUCCGCCUCUUUCCUAACUGCAGCCAAUCAGUGCAGCACCACUAGGUAGCAGCACAGUGCUGGAUCUCCAACUCUGAUACAUCAGCUAACUCUGACUCAGAUCGCUGAGGGUAAUUAUGGUAAUGUUAAUGUAAAUUUAUUUAAUGUUAUUCUCACCUGCUGUGGCUCCGUUAUUAGUCUGAGGCUCAUCUGUAAACAUAAAAACACAAGUUAACAAGUUUCUAUAGUUUACAGUCAUUACAGCUCAUUAUUUAUUAUUAUUAUUUAUGAUUAUUAUAUUAUUUAUUUAUUAAUAUUUAUUAUUAUUAAACAUUACAGGAACAUUAUAUGGGAAUAAAUAUUUAUCUAAAUAAAGGUGGACCUAUAUCAGCUAAAACUAGUGGAAAACAGGCAGCAAAUAUUAAUAAAAAUCUCAAAUAUCUUUUUAAUCAUAUUAACAUAAAAUAUUAUACAUGGGGUUCUGUGGAUUGUACAGUAGCAGAACCAUAACAAUAAUUAUUGUAGAAUAUAUGUGUUUGUAAAAAACUUUAAAUUUGUUAAAUAAAGUGUUUUUCUCUUU